ACUUAAAAAGUGCAGCCAUCCAAUUUCUACACAAAUCAGUCACAGAGAUAUCUCUAAAGGCCCCCAUAGAAGAAGUCCAUAGAGAAAUAAGGAAAAUAAUCAUAUCAUUCAACAGCUUAAAAGAAGAUUCAAACAAGGCUAAUAAAGAAGUCAAACCCAUUUAGGAACCUAAGUGAUUGUGUUAGGGUUUUAGAUGGAUUGUUGGCCUUUAGAAAUCUGCAGAAAGAUUGCAACAGAUUAAGUCACCACUGAGAGUCUGAGAAGUGGCAACUUUCAUUGAUUUCUUUAUCAAUGGCCAAAACUAAGUGUUUGCUGCCGGAAGCUAUCACCAUUGUUGAUUCCCUGCUCAAUUUUAGGCAGAAGAGGGUCAUUAUGUAACUUUAAGCUGUUUAAUAGAUAAAUUACUUUUAGAUCUGACCUUUUAACAUAUAGAGCUUCGUCCCUACAUCAUCUUAAUUGCUUGCUUGUAAGCUUUCUUCAACUUCUCUAUAACAUUUGACAAUUAUUUAUUAAAAGCUAGUUCUUUAUGAUUUUCUAAAAAUUAUUGGAAUCGGUCAUCCUUUAGUAGAUGAAUGUCAUAAGUAGAUGGGCAGACGUUCAGAGUUCUUUGUCUAACUAAAAAUUGAUAGUAAUGGCUCUUUGUAAUUGGGAAUUAACUCAUAGGUUGAUUGUUCAUUUACUUUUUGUAAGGUAUAUAUCUCUUAUUCUGUUCUGUUUAGUAUGUAUUUUAUAAAUAACUUUCUUUACAUGGUUAUUGUGCAGGUUGUAGCUCUUGUUUGCAAUUUUUCAGGGUCAUGUAAUUCAGUAACAGGAAGACUUAACCACUCGGAAGUAGAAACUCUCUUUCAUGAGUUUGGACACGCCCUGCAUUCAUUGCUUUCAAGAACGGUAUUCUAUUGGGCCUUUAAGUCAACAUUGAUUUUAUCCUUGUUUUUUGAGCCAUUUUUUUUUGUUGUCACCUUUACCUCACAAUUAUUGUUGCAGGAUUACCAACAUUUCUCAGGAACAAGAGUAAUGUUUGAUCUAGCCGAAACACCUUCAAAUCUCUUCGAGUGAGUAUAGUGCUACAAUUUGAAUGCCAACUUUUCUGAUUAUCUGUAUUUCAUCAUGGAUUUUUUCCCCCUGUUAUUGUAUGAUGAAAUUUGUUAAUUUUAAUGGCUUUUGGUUGCAAAUUGGUUGUCUGUCGUUUUGAUAUUGAAAAGUUUCUACUUUCAUAUUCUGCAAUUUCACAAUGGGUUGAUGAAAAAAUAUUUCUACUGCUAUGAAGUUCUGUUCGGUUUUAUUAAGUUUGGUCGUAGACUUGUUUGAUAUUCAAUUCUCGAAUGUUAUUCUUCUAACUUUGUGGUACUUGAAUUAUGUCUUUUUGCACAUAUAUAGAAUACAAAAUAAUAUGCACAAGUUAUACUGAGGGUAAUCAAAAACCAAUAUUCUAAAACCAUUCAGAGGAAAUGUUUUAGUACAAAUUUUUGAGUUAGUCUUUAAUUAAAAGAAAAAGACAAUGUAGAAUUUGUGUUAGGUAUGGAUAGUUACUUGGUAUAGUUUUUAAGGUUAUUAGUGUGAAAGAGAUCAUAUUGCAUCUGGCUUCCUAGUCAGCUCUUAUAAGCUCUUCAUAGGUCACUUAUAAUUGGUCCUUCACAGCUCAUAAACAAGUUUACCUUUCACCUACUAGAGAACAUGGUUUUUAGACCCGGACCGGCGGUCAAACCGAAAAAAAUCGGAACCGGUCAGCCCUCAGAUCCGGUUUAGACCAAUGACUCAUUUUUGUACAAAAACAGUUUAAAACCGAAAAAUCGGCGGUUGAACCGCCUGACCCAGCGAACCGGUGACUGGUUCGUGAGUUAGACCGGUUCCCUAAGUAGAAAAGAAAAAAAAGGCUUCAACCUUUCAUUCUGCAGGUUUGUUCUUCUGCUUCUUCUUCUUCUUCUUCUUCUUCGUUGCGUUCCAAAUCCAUUAUACAUACCCAAUAAGUCUUAACAAUAUUUACAAAUAAUAAUCACAAAACAAUGACAAAAUAAUAUCCAGAUCUGAGCCAAAACAAAAAAAUCAAAAAGAAAAGAGCGAUUGUAUUCUAACCGGACCUUGAUUUCUUGUCUAUGAUUUUAUCCCGAAAGGGUCAUUGGACAAGUGGAUCUUCCCCCAAAAUUCGGGUCAUCGAGUGGUAGGUGGCUUGCCUUUCAUGGGACUUGAGGUGUAGGAUUGUACUCGAUGCGGCUAAGGCACUUUCAUACCUUCAUCAUGAUUGUCGGUCGCAGAUUGUACACCUUGAUGUGAAGCCAGAGAACAUUCUUCUUGAUGAGAAUUAUCGUGCUCGUGUUGCGGAUUUGGAUUUUGGGGAGCAAAAGAAGUAUUCUCUGUAUAAGGAUUUUAAGGAGAGAAUAUGCCAACAAUUAAUAUGAUAAAAGAAGGGGACUUGGAUCAUCCUCCCAAUUUAAGGACUUUAAUUUUUAUUAGACAUCAUGUUUUGACUAGAAUAUGCCAAAAGCAUAUUCCCUUUAUGUUCAUUUGUAUUAUUUGAUUUAGUAUCUUUCUUUUCAUAUAUAUUUAGUAUUUAUUUGAAUUAUAUAAAGUAAAUAUUCAAUAAAUAGGUUUAGUUUUUUUGUGUAGAUAAAGUGAUUAAUUUUAUAUAUUUACUAAAUAUUAUAUAUAAUAUAUAAUAAUUUUUUAUUAUUUAUUACAUAUUAAUGACGUCACUGGGUCAAUAACGGUUCGACCACUGGUUGAACCAGUCUACCCGGUACCUUUUCCAGUUCGAUGAGACCGGGUUUGAAAACAUUGCUAGAGAAUAAAAGUUAAAUGGUGGGAAUGAAUUGCAUCUAGCUCGCAUUUCCCCCUUUAAAUUUGUGUUAAUAUGGAUGUAUCUAAUUGCUAAAGUGUUCGUGGUGGACACUUGACACCAGGGUAAGCGUUAAAAAGAUGCAUCUGAUAUGUCACAUGGAGCAUGCACCAACAGGUGUAUCCAGAAAUUCUUAUUUGCUGUAAUUGUAUUUGAAACUCUUUUGGUACAUCCUUUGAGCAUGGUUGUUUCUGAACUAGCCGAAUGAUCUCCAAAUACGAACUCUAUAAUCUUCUGUGAUAAAAGGUUAAGAUCAAUUCAUUGUCGUCCAGGUUUCAUGUCAUUGAGAAGUAGGCUUUAGGAUUUAGUCAUUGUUCUAUAGAUGCAAAAGCAUAUAUGACAUGAAGCAUAAAAUUAUUGACUGAAAUAUUGGCCAACCUAAUGUUGGGUUUGGUGAUUUUUCUAGGUACUAUGCAUGGGAUUAUCGGGUGUUAAGGACAUUUGCUAGACACAAUUCAACUGGGGAAACGAUACCCAAAAAAUUGGUGGAGGCAAUGCAGGGAGCCAAAAAAAUGUUUGCUGCAACUGAGUUGCAACGUCAGGUAUUUACCCGAGGCCAUAAAAGACUUCACAGCAAUCUUCAUAACUUUUAAGAAUUAAGAGAAAACAUGUCUUAAUCAAUGCGUGUUGCUUCCUAUCAUCACCAGAUUUUUUAUGCAUUAGUUGAUCAAACGCUAUACGGGGAACAGCCAUCUGCACCAAGAGAUACAGUUGCUGUUGUUCGGGAUUUAAAGCUACAAUAUACCAGCUGGAAGCAUAUGGAGGGUACACACUGGCACACCCGGUUUACUCACUUUUUAAAUUAUGGUUCAGGUAAUCUAUAAACAAGGAUUUCUAACUUACAUUACUUUUGUAAAGAUAACUAAUGCUAAUAUAAAUAUAUAGACAUUGGCACAUCAUGGUGACAUGUGCACGUUUGACAUGUGGUGAUUACAGGACGACUGAAUGAUCUGUAAACAAGGAUUUCUAAGUUACAUACUUUUGUAAAUAUAACUAAUGCUAAUUGCAAAUUGGGUGCUUAUGUAUGAAGAUUACAAAAGAUUAGUUCUUAGAAUUUAAUAAAGAUAUGAAAAUAUUCAUCUUAAUCAGUCGCUAAUAUAAAAACAUAAUUCACCUACUUGUAUCUCUUGUUUUUAAGUGUAGUCACUUCCUGGCCCUGCAGGGCUUGCACAUCCGAAUUUUUAAUUAUUAUUUUAUUUUUUGGCCCGCGGUGUGGGGGAGGUGGAGGAGCGUUGUUGUGUGGCUCUGGAAUAUGCUUUAAAUUAGAUAAUUAUUGCCUCCGUCCCCAGAAGGAUGAGAUAAAGUAUAUAAAGUGAAGGGUAAAUAUGUCAUUUAGUGGGGUCCAUUAGUAUAAAAAAAAAAAAUUACUCGUUACAUUAUAGAAUUUUGUGGGUCAAUUGAGGAUAAAUUUGAAACUUUUUAACUUUGUUUCCUCUACUUUUACUUUUACUAUAUAUGUUGUCUUUAAUCUGUGUAGGUUAUUAUAGCUACUUAUAUGCCAAGUGCUUUGCUGCAACCAUAUGGCAAAAGAUAUGCAAGGAGGAUCCACUGUCAUUAGCCACUGGAUCUGCUAUUAGAAUGAAAUUCUUACAGCAUGGUGGAGCCAAAGACCCAGCAGAUUUGUUGAAUGAUCUUGUAGGUGAUGGGAUUCUGACGUAUCGUCAUGGAGGUAUAGUUCCUGACGUUACAAGCCUCUGCGAUGAAAUGGGAUUGUUGAAACCGUAGCGUAGCAGGCACACUUCCAAAAAUUAAAUGGAAAAUAGUGAACAUGCCUCAGAAUGCCAUUGUGAAGAGGACAGACACCAGGUCGUCUCAUGAGAGGUUCAUCUUUUUUGCAUUUAACGAGUGUUGCAAUUCAAGCAUAGGUCUCCACCGACACGAAUAAUUGUUUACAUUUGAUGAAGUGUUGAAAAAAAAAUAUUUAUUUGACAUACAUGGGAAAUAGGCUCAAUAAUUGCUUAAGAUAUGUGUUGCUGGGAAUAUAUUGAUUUGUUUAACCAAACUUGUCCACAUGAAGUUAUUCGUGUUGCUUAAGACAAGGUUUUCAGGUAUACUGAUGUUGCAUAACUGGUCCAAAGAAGGGCACACUGUAGUGCAAAGAUGGCUGUCUUGGUGGUCACCAACCUCCCUAAAUGACGACAAUUGCCUUGGGGAGAACUGAUUGAGCCAAGGAGGAAGGAAGUACGCUGUGUUCAUCAAAAUGUAGAUUGAAUAAUAUUGUUUUAUUAUUAUUGAUUCUACUUAAUUUAACACCUACCUUCCUGAUAUAAGGUUAGGACUACUCUUCACCAUCAUCAUGUUCACUAGAAUCCAAUAAAAAUGGCGACACAUGAGGCACAAAAAUUAGUUAAACUUUAAACAAUCUUUAAAAUAUCAAUAUUAUAUUUGGAGGGAAUUGAUGGGACGGAUAGAAGGGUGUGGAUAAAUUGUUUGGGAAAAGGCAGCAGCACAUAAUAAUAAAAUGUAAUGUAUUUAUCAUCAUGCCACGUCCUCUUCUUUUAAAGAAUGAUUCAAAGUAUAAUUUUCUUUUAUUUUAAAUAAAUGACAAUAAACACAUAAAAUAAACAGUAUAGGUUUACUUGCACAUAUCAUGUUCAAUUUAUUUAAAAAGUUGCAUAAUAUCUAUAUUGAACUUAUUUUUUUAUACAAAUUUCAAAACUUAAAAUGUUUACGAAGUAUAAAUAAUUCCACUCCUAGUGAUUUUCAAUUAUAAUUGAAUUAUUUAGAUUUGGAAUACAAAACAAGAAGGGGAAAAAUAAUCACCAGAAUUAAUUAACUUUGGUAAGAGAAAAUUAUACAACAAGUUUUGACUAUUGUGAAGUCGAUUAUAGCUCUAAUGUGUAAAAUGAGAUUCAAGACACCAAUUAUAUAUAUAUAUACACACAUAUAAUUGUAUAAGAAUAAAAAAAAUACUCUCUCCGUCCAUGAUAAGUAUUUAUUACUAUUUUAGAUAGUUUCAAAUUAAAUAUCUACUUAUUUUAAAUAAUUUAUUUUUUAUAAUAAUUGACCUAUAAUGGACCAUCAUUAAUCAUUUUACAAAAAAUUAUACAAUUAAAUAAAAAAAAUUAAAUAUAAAUAAUUUUAUCACUUUAUUUUCUUUCUUAAUAUGCGUACAAAGCCGACCAAGCUUAUCCUAAAGACUGAAGAGGAUAUAAAGUUACAUGUUAAUUACAAAUUUUAUUGCUAGAUUAUAAACAUGUGAUUAUAUUUAAAGCGAUAUAUAUAUAACCAGGAUCAGGUCCAGGAGUCCGGACCUUGUUAAAAAGCGAACUAUUUUUUUUAAAAAAACAACUAAUUUUUAUUUUUUAAUAUUUUAUGGAACUGAAAUUUUUCCAUAACACAGUGUUUUGUGCGUGAUUUAGACACAUAUAACAAAACAGGUAUGUACAAACUGUUUUGUUAUAUGUUUUUAAAUCACACCCAAAACACUGUAUUAUAAAAAAUUUCAGUUCCAUAAAAUAUUAUACUUUUUUUUAGUUGUUUUAAAAAAAAGCAAAAAAAAAAAGAAGAAAAAAAGUCCAUAUUUUAAUAAAGUCCGAGAAUCCGGACCGAAACCGGAUCCUAUAUAUAUAUAUAUACAGAAUGGAUCAGGUUCGGGAGUCCGGACCUGAUCAAAAACGGACCAAUUUUUUUUUUUUUUUAUUUUGCUUUUUUUUAAAAACAACUAAAAAAAUAUUUAAUAUUUUAUGGAACUGAAAUUUUUCCAUAAUAUAAUGUUUUGGACGUAAUUUAAAUACCUAUACCAAAAAAUGGUGGUACAGUCUGCACAGACUAUAUAUACAUAUUUUGUUAUACGUACCCAAAUCACACCCAAAACACUGUAUUAUGAAAAAAUUUCAAUUCCAUAAUUUUUAUUUUUAUUUUUUAGUUGUUUUAAAAAAANNNNNNNNNNNNNNNNNNNNNNNNNNNNNNNNNNNNNNNNNNNNNNNNNNNNNNNNNNNNNNNNNNNNNNNNNNNNNNNNNNNNNNNNNNNNNNNNNNNNUAUUUCAACCCUCAAAAUUGAAGUUGAAGAAUCCGAGGAUACCAAAUAUAACUAUAUCUUUAUGCAACAAGUACACUUGCUUUAAAGAACACCAAUACACCAUUACAAGUUGAUAGAGAAGAAGGAACAUUUUUGAAAAACUCGAACGCACCAAAGAUGAAAACUUCUGAAACCCUGUUUUUUGUUGUCCAGUUAGGAGGUUAGGGUAGGGUAGGGUACGGUAGGGUAGAACAACAUACAAAAUGAUCUUAACAUGGUUAUCAUACAUACAACACUCUAGAAUUAAUAUACUCAAUAUAGACACCAAAGUCGAAUAACAAGACACGGUAAUGUAAUAGCUACAACACUGGGAAAGAAAACAUUAUCAUCAUCAUCACUCAAAUUUAUAUUUGUGUUCAUACAGUAAGGCUGGUAAUGGCUUAUAUCUGAUGAGGGGUCCAUGAAGCUUGUGCAGCAACAAACACCUCGCAGAACUUCUUAACUGAACCCAGAAAAAAUAAACUUGAUCAAAUCUUUUUAUACAUCUUCAGGAGGUUAGAAAAGCUGUUGAAAAAUCAAAAAACCAAAACCAUGUACAUGCCAGACUUCAAGCAAUCCUAAAGUCUAGGAAGAUGACAUCACAUCAUAAACCAACAAUCCUCUCUCAAAGCCUUAAUAUUCACAAUGAGCUCAUGAAUUUGAUGGAUAAUAAACUUGUUGCAUCCACAUGAGAACAGGAGGAAAGAAAAAUAAGAUCAAUUUCACAUGUUAAAGAAGAUUUGGAUUAGUAUGGAAGCACCACCUCUAAUGUUCUUCCUUUCGUAAGUGCACGAUACCAAUUUGGAUGCUCUAGCCGACUGAGAGAGUCAUGUACAAGGAUUAAAAUACAACAAAAGGAAGAGACAGAAAAAGAUGGAGAGAGACAUAGAGAUUGCGCAGAGGGUGGGAAGCUAAAAUACAGAAACCUACCCAUCCAACAACAGCAUUUCUUCUCUCUUUCAAUGAUAGGCCAUAAUAGGAUCAUAGCCAAGAAUUGUUUCACGUGCACCAAAAACUACAUGAGAAGAUGAUAACCAUGACAAGAAUAAUCGCUUUAAUGCCUAUGAGCAUUUAGCGGGUAAACUAUGUCACCAACUGAGGAAGUCAAAGAGAUAAAAACAAGAAAGUGAACCAUUCUUUCAUGCCUUCGGAUCAAGGAAACAUGCAAUGCAUGCAAGUGCCCAUGGAAAAAGGUUACGGUAAUCAAACCAUGCACAACUAUGAUUACAAUUUUGCCUUAUGAUUUACAAAUGAGGAUCAUUGAGCCCUUUGGCCAUACAACCAAUGGUAAGGAUCAAAUAUACUGGAAGGUUAGGAUCGACAAUUUAGAAUCAUCCUCUAAAAUAUCUUCAAUAUUUACAAGCACAAUUAUCACAUGAGUUUAUCUAGAACACUCUAUUAAAAACCCUAAUAUAAAAGAAGAUUUUAGGGAAUACCAACUAGUGUCGCUAAGCGCCUUUAGGGUGUCUAAUAAGCGAUGAUGACAUGACAUAACCUCCUUAAAAAUGCGCGUCAGCGCAUGUUGUGAAACUACACUUAGAAACAACUCAACUAGUUUUAACUAUAUCUCAACAAGUUUAAAGUAUUCGUUUAAGAAAGCUAUUCCGAGCACACCACUUUCCAAUGAAUAAACGUAUUUCGUAUUAUAACUAAACAGUCCGAAAAAACAUACUCCGUAUACUCCAUUCCGAACCAUGAAAACUUACGUUUUUCGUUCCCGUUCCACUUACCGUAUCAAACCACGAUGCAGUAAACAUUGACUCAUUACCUAGCACAUAUAAACUGGAAAAGUACAUCAGGAUCUAAAUAUAGCUAGAAGUGACAUAAAUAUAGAAAAUGAAGGAAAGAGUAAAUAAAAUUCACAUUACCCCCAAUGCCUUCAGAUUUCAGGGCACGAUUACCUUCAUGACACAGGAAUGGUAUGUGCAUGCAUCAAGCUGCUUCAGGUGCAUGGAAGCAAAGAACAACUUAUAAUUGUACAGGAGAAUAAUAUAAAAUCAAUUAAAAGCAGAAAGCUGCAUAAGAAAGCAGAAAACAAAGAAAUUAAGCUCCAAAAGUCUAUGUUAUGUAACGAACAUAAACUGUCAGUAGCUUGUCAUCAAUAAAGUUGAGACAAAUCUGAGAAAGAACAUAAUGGAAAAAAACACAUGCUGUAUAGCAGCAUUAACUAUCCAAAAGACAAAGAAAAUAGACCUACAAAAUAUUCACCAAAAAUAUCAAGAAGCCUCUGAAAUGAAUACCGACAUAAGACCCUCUGAUCUGAACUAUAAACCAAGCUCUCUGCAAAUUUCAUAACAGUACAACAAUGUUAAAGAUGUGAGUUGCAAACUUCCAACAAGAAGUCAUUGAAAGAGGUAAGAAAUCAGGUUGACAAGUGCUCCAGAAAUUUUGCCUGCCAAAAUAUCGCAACAUUAACAGAGAAAAAUUGUUAAGAAACGUGAUUUUAAAAAAAGACGUAAGAAAAAAAAGACGUAAGAAAAAAGCAGUUAAGAAUCAAUGUUCAUCAUUCUCAUUAUCAAUAAUUUUCCUUUUUAUUUUACAAUGAAAACUUGAGGAAAAGGACAACGCUGAUCCAUCACAAAGAAACACAUACAUCUCAGUAACACUUGCAACCAAUCAGAAUUAUACGCUCAGCACUACACAAUAAGGUCUUUAAAAAAAUUCAUACAAUGAAAAUACCACUAUAAUCUAGGUAUAAAAUAUAGUGGGGGUAAGAUAAAUUAAUGAGUUACCAGAAUGGGUUAACACAGUAACUAUGUAAUGAACUGUAUUUUAGUAUGAACGUUCAAAACAUUAUACACUUUCAUUCUGGCACACUAAGCUAGCUGAUCCGGAACAAAAUUUUCUAUCUACUUUAGUUUUCAUGUUAAUAGUGUGAACCAUAAAAGACAAAUGAAAAAACAAAAUAAAUAAAUCUUCCAAGUAAAGAUUGCAAUGAGAACAAUAACAUCUCUCUUAAUUAAGUUCAUAUAUGAUCCUACAGUUUUGAACUUUUUAUAAGCUACUACUAAGCUAGUUUCUAAUAUAAGAAAUUCCGGUUAAUGAAGAACUUUAAUUGAUUAACCAUAUACCUUCUACAAGAAGACCAUGUCACGUUUAGAAGAUUUAACGUAUGAAAAGGUACCUGUUAAAAUCUUGGAUAAGAAGGAACAUAUUCUACGCUCAAAGGUUAUGCCUAAAGUCAAAGUUUUAUGAAGAAACUACGAUAUUGAGGAAAUGACCUAGGAGUUAGAAUCUAACAUGAAAACAAGUUAUCCUCACCUCUUCGACAUACCAGAUACGUACACCAAUUUUGAGGAUGAAAUUUCAUAAGAAUGGUAGGUUGUAAGACCCCAACUUUUAUGAAUAAAAAUUUAAUUUUCUCUAAAUGUUAUUUUGAAUAAUAAGGUGUGGAUUUGAUAUAAUGUUAUAGUUGUGGGUAAUAUUUACAAAUUUUGCAAAGUAAGCAAGUUGUCAUAAAAUAUUCGUUUGGUCGGGGAAUAUUCGUUUUUAUCAGAGAAUAUCUGUGCGACAACACAAUCAUUGGUGGACCCCAUAACAGAAUUACUGUCGGAUAUAGAAAGCGACAGAAAUAACCUUUCUAUAAAAAUAACGGCAAAACUUUUACCGUUAACUGUUGAAAUACCAUAACACCAGAAUACUUGGCUCACUACAAUUAAAGGAUUAAAAAAAAAGGGGGAUUGGACGGACAUAAGAUGUUAAGCAAAACAAGUGUAUUUCUUUUAAAGAACAAUUAUGUCAUACAGAAAAUUGCAUGGAUAUCAUAACAGACAAAUAAUAUAAGAUGUCGUGCCGAAUCUAUAUUUAUCACAACUGAUCUAACCAGUUUAUAAUUAGCUUACAAAUACAGAAGCAAUAGGAUUAACCUCAUAAGACCACCUAGGUACGCGUACAUAAUCAGUCAUAAAGAAAAAAUUUGAAAAAUAUUUCAGUAACUCCUAAUUUUGAAUAUUUUAGCACAAUGUUUUGCUAGAUGUAAAGACAACUUUUUCUCGGUAGUUCUUGACAAUUACAAUUGCCCUAAAAUUGACGAAGUCAAACUGUUUUGUUUAUAAAGCUUCCAACAUAUUUGUCAGUUGAUGCAAAUCAAUGGAACUGCUAUCUGUUCACAAGGGAAAAAACAUAGCAUUUAUACCAAAAAACACAACAAACAACACAUGGAAAAUGAACUGUUAUAUGUUCACAAGGGAAAAAAAACAUAGCAUAUACACCAAAAACACAACAAACAACAUAUGGAUAAUGAUAAAAUUUGAUGCACUUACCUUCCGCCAAAAGGCAAUAAAGGACCCACAUCAUUUCAUCUCCGCCGUGAACUUCUCAUAUUUGGUCUCUGCACCAUAGUUUGUCUUCUCUGCAGAUGACACAGGUGUCGAUCCUGUUGGAUUUGAUGCCCACGGCACAUUUCCUGUGCUCUGUGAAGUGUCCACUGUCGAGUGAGGCACAGUUGUACGAGGAGGAUGAGGAGCUGCACUGUAAUAAGGUGGGUAAACAAACGAUGGUGUCAAAUAUGCUGGUUGAGUAUUUGGGGGAACAGCAGUGACGGAACUGCCAUAGACACAAGUAGGAACAGGCUGGACAUCUGUACCAAUUUGAGAUUGAACUCCAGGUUGGUAACUUUGUUGUGUUUCAGCAGAAGACACACAAGGGAUUUCACCAGAAGUCACAGUCGUUGUGAUACCAUUGGAAACUGUAUGCACUGAUGGAGGAUAUUGAACUCCAUAAGGGGCCAUAGGUUGAACAGGCAGAGUUGCAUACAUGGUUGAACCAGGAAGUAGAGGAGGGUGAGGAGGGUGAGGAGGGUGAGGAGCAUACGGAGCAGGUGCAGGUGAUCCCCAUGGAACUGGAGCGCCAAGAUAGCUUCCAGGAGGUGCAAUCCUGACAGGAGCACCAGGGGUGAACUGUUGGGUUGGAUAGGCACUGAUAGGCUGGUUCGCAGCAGAAUAUGUAGGCAUUGUUAGAGAAGGAGGGCCUGAUGGCACAGCAGGCUGAGGGGGCUUACCAGCAACUCUAACAGCUAUUGAUCUCCCAUCCAAACGAUGACCGUUCAUGCUAGCAAUAGCGCUAUUAGCCUGCUGAACAUCAGAGUAUUUCACAAAACCAUAACCUUUGCUCAAGCCAGUGACACGGUCCUUAAUAACCUUAGUCAUAACAAUCACACCGAAAGGUGAAAACAAGCGGAUCAAAUCAUCAUCCUCAAGAUUAGGCGGCAAGUUGCCAAUAUAGAGAUUUGUUUCAUCAUAAUCCUUCGUUUGCUUGAUUCCAACUGCCCCUAACCCAGCUUGUGAGGUCCCUGCAGCAACCCCAGCAUUGUUAUCAUUGGCCCAAGGAGGAUUGCUCCCUGAACUUCCCGGACCAAGAGCCAAUGUUGCCCCGUUUUGCUUGGUUAACUACUCAGGAACUGUCCCUCCCAACUCUGCCAAGAAAUUUUGGUAUUCGUCAUCCAUUUUCUUGCCAGUAGAUCCCUUCACUGGACAAUCGAUAGUGGGGUGCCCUCCAUCACCACAAAUUCUACACAGAACAUCACUUUUAAAAGUUGAAGUUCGAGAAGGGCAAGCAUACUGUCUAUGUCCAGGUUCACCACAUAGCCUACAAUACUCCUCAUCUCUUAUCGUUCCAUUAAGAGCAGCAAGUUCCUUAAGUUGUUGCCUCUUAUGCUCAUUAAGCACUUCAUCUACAGGUUGUAACAGCUUCUCCACCAUUCCAGCAGCAGCAUCAAGUGCUUCCUGUGUCUCAGCUUCCACUAGAACAUGCAAAUCUUCAUUCUCCGAAGGAUCAGGUUUCAAGUCCCGCUUCUGCUGCAGCCUGCCUUCUUUUACAGACCCCUUACCCCGAAUCACAAUUUUGGCUCCAGUUUCCUUUUCCAUCCUUUUCUGCGUAUUGCCCCUUGGUCCAAUAAUAAGUCCAAUAAAAUUAUAGCCUGGAUAUUCUUUCAUGGGUAUGUAAAGCUUCUUAUGAAGCUUCGGAGGACGGUAAUCAGCUGGGGUCUUAAAUGCAGGAUUCUUCUUUAUAAUCUGCGAAAUAAUUUCUUGUCUCUCUUUAUUCAAUCCUUCACGUGCACGAUAUUCUCUAGUGUUAAUUCGAAUUCCCAAGUUAUCAUAAACAGGUUCAGGCGAAGGUGAUCUAGCACCUUCAGGCCUAUCAUCUAAAGGCAAUCCAGAUUGUAAUUUUCUACUAAUUUCAAGAAGCCUGCUAUUGAGUGCUUGAAUUUCGGGAUCAAAUUCAAUACCUGCAGUAAAAUCUUUCAUGAAAUCAGGUAACUGAAUCACAGGCCUCGUGUCAUCCGCCCACCGCGACUUGCUCUUCCUCGUCCCAGUGCCGUCGCUACCAGCUCCAUCGAUAUUGGAUUCGCUCAGAGGCGGGUCCCAGCGGGUCCUACGCCGCCGCCUACUUGUUGUUUCCUCUUCUCCACCGGAAUAAUCCUUGUCAGUGCCACUGUGCGUAUUUGUGAGACCAUUUUCCGACAACAAUGGCUUAGGAAUCGCCGGUUUAAAUGAAUUGAUUGAAAUAUCGACUUGAGUAACGUUUUCCUUACUCAAAUCCUCUUUAUUCUGGUCGUUAAAGACUGAGUUCUGAUUAUAUGAAUCCAGAUUUGUUUGUGGUUGGCUCUGGUUAUUUAAAUCUGGGGCUUGGGGCGGAUUUCGAACGUAAGAAGGUAGAGCUUCCGAUGAUUAUGAUAAUAUGAUCCAGAAGAUUGUGGAGGACAUUGAUUAUCAGAGGAAAAUAGAGUUUUGGAUGAGUUGUUUUCUGAGGAAGAAAAGAGUUGAGAUUGAGAAUUACAUACGCUUGAUGAUUUAAGGGUUGAUUCCAUAAGUCGAAUCUUCAAUUCAGAGCUUCAGAGCUUGAGAAGGUGUUGGUACAAUUGCAGAGGCUUCUGGAAUCUGGAGAGAGAAUUUGGAAGUCGGUAUUUAUCAGCCCAACAAAAACUGCUGGCCGUAUAUGGAUUUAUAUUGGAUUUGGAUCUUCUUGAUUUUAAUAUAUAUCGGUGAAGCAAUCAAUCAUUUUCUGUGUUGGGCUCUGUGAGGUUUGGGCUUGGGCUUGGGCUUGGACUCAGCCUCUAACCAUAAUGUCAUUUAAUAUUGGAGCCUUCUCAUUUUAAUUCUACAGAAUUUAUGGGUGAGGUGAUAAUUAUGUCAAUUAAUUGAUUCAAUAUUACAAUCAUAUAUAAAUUAUUUAUAUGAUAUAUAUAAACUAAUAUAUAAAUUAUCAGUAGAAGCUCGCUGGAUCCGGAAUGGGGAAUAUAUAUAUAGUUUGGCCUGAAAAAAAAAUUCAAACUCACAAGUCAUUCCAUCCCAUCAAACGCGAUAUAUACAUUAUAUAUAUAUAUAAUUACUUUGACAAAAUUUAAAAGGGGAAUUUAUAAUUUGAUAUGGCUUCUCUGGGAAGUCUAGAUUUUCAAAUUUCCAAAAUCAAGGGUUAAAACUAAAUUAUUAUUAAUUCAGUUGAGUAAUUAUAAUGUUUUUUUUUGUACAUCCACAAAAGAAUAAUUUGGGUGAUAAAAAAUUAUGUAUAAAGUACACAAGUCAAUUAGAAUUUUUUUUGCAUCGACUAAUUAAUUUAUUAUCGGUCAUAUUACUACAGUCUUAGUCAAAUAGCUAGUAAAACAAUGGCAUCACAAAUGAAUUCAGUCUCUCGAUCCAUCUUCAACACAAACUCAAGAGCCAAUUAAACAUUGUUAGCUGUUGAGCGCAUGCAUGCAUGCAGUAAAUUUAAAACUAACUCCUUCUCUUGCAUGCCAACAUUCAUUAUAAGUUUACAUACAUAUUCAGUACUCUCACAUACAAACAUACACACACAAAUACAUGAUAUUCUUCUUAAUAUAUUACCUCCACCUCCAUUAUAUUCUAGCUAGGAAUUAAGAAUUACCAUUUUCUUAAUUAAAUACAACUUUUUUUCUUCGGGGCGGGCGUGACUAGAUCAGUAUUUGAGAUACUAUACUAAUUAACAUACCACCAGGCACACAAAUAAAUUUAUUAUACAAUUCAUUAUGCCUCUCAAACUUGCAAGUCAUGACAAGAUAGCUGGCUAGGUUUAGGUUUAGGUUGUCAAGACAUGCAGCUGGGGCUCAAAGGUAAUUAACUAAGGAUCGAUAAGUUGCGCCAGGUUUCCACCCCACCGGAAUCACAUUUUUUGCCACUAGGGUUUGUUCUGAAUAUUGGGAAGUUAACCGGAUUGACAAUGGAGGUUUUAAUUCCCCGCCGGCGUCAAGCUUCCAAACAGCACCCCAAGAUUGUUGCAUUCCUCUCCAUACAUCACUUAGACGGUGAGGGCUAGUACUACUCUUUGAUGUUGUUUCCUUUAAACCAACCCCAGCAAGAUCUCCAUCUCCUUCUUCAAACUCAACCACAAAGGCAAUGUAAUUAGGGUUUGAUCCCUGGUCAACGUGGAACGCUAUGGUUUUCCCAGCAUAAUCGCAAGCAACACUACAAAAUAAAAUUAACUUUAAGUGAGUUUUUUUUAAAUUAAAUUAUGACUAAUAAUCUUCUACAAUUAAUUAUAUAUAUACAGUUUAGAAGGAUUAUUUUAAAAUAUAUUAAUUAAUUAAUUACCGUGCGAAUCGUAUUUGCAAAAUUCCGGCAUCGCGUAGGUGCUUCUCUUGACCGGGAAUGGCCAUGGCACCAAAUGCUGUCCCACUUAAAUCAAAAUGAGCUCUGUCGGAUGCACACACACCUCCGGGGCAAAAGUCAGUUAUAACAACCCUGGCUGGCUUGCCGGAACACGAAGGAUGUUUGGUACAUUUCACCUAAUUACCAUUUAAUAAAAUACAAAUAUUUCACUACUUUAUUAAGCACUAAUUAAUAUAUAAAGCUAGCUUUUCAGUAUUUAUAUUAUUAGGGAUUACUUUUUAUAUAUUANNNNNNNNNNNNNNNNNNNNNNNNNNNNNNNNNNNNNNNNNNNNNNNNNNNNNNNNNNNNNNNNNNNNNNNNNNNNNNNNNNNNNNNNNNNNNNNNNNNNNNNNNNNNNNNNNNNNNNNNNAAGAUAUAUAUAUAUAUAUAUAUAUAUAUAUAUAUAUAUAUAUAUAUAUAUAUAUGAUCUGGGUGUGGACCAUUUUUGGCCAAUCUAUUUAUCUCUAUCUGUCCAAAGCGGGAGCUGAUUUAUUCCACGGCCAGGAAGAUAGAAUUAAUUUAUAUCUUUUCUUGGUUAAGAUUUCUCCCGAUAACACAGAGAUGGAUUGAGACUCUGAUACUGUCAUAGUUAUAAUGGCUAUGAUCAUGAAUCAGAUUUUUUAUAUAAUAGUAUCACUCACAUGCACAUACUGCAUGUGAAGAAUUAAUUAUUACAUACCAUCGCUUCCAGCGCCAUCAGGGCUGCCAUACCAAGUUGCACCAGCAGAUGACCAAUGGGUUGUUGCAGUUGACAAGUUGAAAUGUUUGGGUCUGAAGCCAAAACACAACUUAGAAUUAAAGCUAAAUAAAGCUACCAAACAUGGUGUGUACAUGAAGAAGAAAUGUGGGAAAAAAGAUGGGAGAAGCUGUGACUUAUUAUUUGUAGCCAUUAAUAUAUAAUUAUGUUAGUGUUUUGCGAUUCCUAAUGAACUGCAUGCACUCUGCUUUGAUUGGAUAUGUCAUGCGGUAUCGCAAGUAUUUAUAGAGGAAAAGCAUGUGCCUUGUUGCUAUCAACUACACUUUCACCUUAAUUCGUAUAAUAUUAAUAGUAUAAUAUAAGAGAAAAACUACAAGCUAGCAUGUUCACCUUUUAUUAUUUUUUUGGUAGGUCGUCACUGAGGAUUAAUUGGCUCUUACACUAGGUUAACUAGUGAUGCAUUAAAAUGGCAAUGUUGAAGUCUCGAAGAGAAAGGUGAUAAUUAACCUAAAUAAUUAAGAUUAUCACUUUUUGACAGUUACAAUCUUAAAUACAGGACUAUACGAUUCAAUUUAAGUCGUCAAUUAAAAUAUAAACAACAUACAUAAAUUUUGUUAUUUAUAAUUAUCAUAAUGUCGUGUGUAGUACGAGAGCGCACACACCAAGUAUUCACUAUAAUAAUUUGUCACACUAUUUUAUAAUAUGGUGAGAACUACUACAACUAGUUACUAGCUAGCUCGGACCAUCGUUCUAUUCUCAUAUUCUCCCCAACCCCGCUAGCUACACUCUCAUUUCUUGAAAUGAAUUGUGAAAUAAAAGGGUGAACUCAAUAUAUAAUCUAGUAAUAAUAUAAGUUAUCAUUAGCCUUCAAUAAUGAUAAAAAUUAAAGAUUAAUUAGACAAUGAUAAACAACAUAAGUUUUCAACAAACAACUGCAGUGGAUUGAACAAUCCAUUAGAGGAGUCAAAUAGAUCAUAAUGUCUACUAUCUUCUCCAAUUUAAAAAUUCACCAUCAAGAUUUUAUAUAUCAAUUGUAAUACCAAUGGUUAUGAUCAUGCCAAAAAGAACUUUCACCACGUAUCAUUAAUUGGCACACAGGCUAAAGACAAUCAACAAUCAUAUUGUCUUUGCAUUCAAGCCAAAGACAUUCAACUGUAACACCAACGAUCAUGAUCAUGUCAAUCAACAAUUCAUUUUUGCACUCGGGUCAAAUAGAAUUUUCACCAUGUGUUCUUGCUACACAGGCUAAGGACAAUCAACAAUCAUAUUGUCUUUACACCCCAAAGACAUUCAUAACAACUUAAGUACUGAUGAUUAGUACAAAUAAUAAUGAUAUAAAAGAUUAAUAAAAAUAAUUAGAUAAAGGAUAAAUAUUAUAGAUUUGCAAUUUAAAUUGUCUAGAGUCCAAUCAUGUAAAACUUGUCAACACGAUAUCCAGAAAAUCGAUUCGAAUUCAAUAAUAAUAUUUAAGAUUCACAGUUAAAAUUCAACAGAAAAGUUAAUGUCAAAAGAUAUAAGAUGAAACACCAACUAUUAAGAAAAUUCUAAUCAAAUUUUUACUGUUUAAUAUUACUAGUUAUAAAAAGGAACAAUACUUUGUUACCAAAGUUAGGGUCUUACAUCGACAUGAAGCUUUUAUUCGUGAUAUACAGAAUGACAUGGUCAUAUUUUUCAUAAUAAUUAAUUAGGGACAACAAUUUUUCAACAAAAAGACAGAAAAAAGAUUAGAUUUUUUUUAAUAAGAAAAGGUGUUUAAAAUAUGGUUAUACUGAUAGACGUAAUGGAAAAAGAUACCGUGACUAAAAAUUAUUAUGCUCAAUUUCAUUGUUAUUGAACGUGUGAAUGCAAUUUUGAUGGUAUUUUCUUCUCCUAACAUUUCCUUUUUCGUUAUGCAGAGUCUCAAAGUCACUUGCCUACUGCUCCCUCCCUCCAUCCCUCCAUCCAUCCAUCCCAUUUGCAACUUUAAUCUUUUUUACUCAAACUUUUGCAAAAUUUUAGAAUUCCAAAUAAUUUUUAAUUUAUUUGAUUUUUAUGGAUGCAAUAAUAUUUGAAUUUACUAAGAAAUUAUUAUUAAUGAACUAUUUUAUGUGGAUAUAAAUAUUUUACAAUUUCAUAUAUUUAUAUUGGGACAAAUAAAUAAAAUCGUAAAGUACGCAUAUAGUUUUUCAUUAUUAAGUAGCAUUAAUUAGAGUGAAACAAAACAUUGUCGGUAGAGGUGGGUCAUAAAAAAAUCUAUCAAUAUAUAUAAAAUAAUAGUAAAAUUUUCCAAUGAUUCUGCCGUUGAUGGUGGUUAUUGGUCUGGUCGUUGUAUUUCUCAAUAAUUACUAAUUGGUUUGGGUGGACGUCAGAGGUAAUAAAUAAAUAAAUUGCCCCAAUCCAACUCAACCCAACCAUAUAAGUAUAUAUUAUCUUUGAAUUUAGUAGUAUAAUAACAAUCUUUUGAGAUUGAAAUCUUACCUACCGAAUCUUUCACUUUCUCUCCUUUCCUUAUCAACGGAGUUGUAUUUUAAUUUAAUUUCUUCCAUUCGCUCACAAUUAAUUCUUUAUUUGUUUAAUAUAUAUAUAUAUAUAUAUAUAUAUAUAUUGUUUACUGAAUAUUUUGCAUAAUUAAUCUUAUUUUACAAGAAUCUGUCCGCCCAAAACUAUAAGUGUAUGAACAUAAUUCAAGAGAUAAAAUAGGACACUCAUUUUCAGACAACGCUAGAUUUUAUUCUUUUCAAUUGUAAUAUAUAUUAAUGAGUAAAAUUUAUUAUCAGAUUUUUUAUUUUGAAGAAUUAUUAUGUCCAAGUGCGUGCCAAGCUCGUCUAGGGGAAAAAAAUCAAUAAAAGAAGUAUGACUAAUUCAAUGCAGGGAUUUGACUAAACUAGCAUAUUAUUAUUCUCCUGACUGACCUGUGCAAUAAUUAAAAAUUAGUAAAAUUUAGUUAUGGGCCUCCUCCGGUUUGAACUUUUCUUUUAAUUUGUUAGGGCUUGGUUACCUGCCUGAGUCCAAUCCAAUCAAAAUUCUAGUCUUACUCCAUAUACCUUUUUAAUGGAGUUUGCGUAAACGCAGAAGAUGUGAUGAGGUUAGUAGGGAAAUAAAUUCUCUCUCACGCUUGAGUUUAAUAUAUGAAUCCAGGCUUGGUAUUUAAUUAUACAUAAAUUCUCUCUCACGCUUGAGUUUUCUCAAGGAAGGAAGAUAUCACCGCCGCAUUGGCUUUCAAUUGAACUGCAAAAGCGGUAUGAAAUUGCGUUGAUGAUCAGCGUUUUCAUUGCCAAACGCAACUACGAAAUUUGUUGCAGCUGCCAACGCCGGUUCCUGCGUUUGGGCUACGAUGAAAACCGCGUUGGCAGUGGUGAAGCUAGGAUAGAAAUGUGAGGUCAAUUAACCCCACUCAAUUUUUGAAAUCACUUAAAAAAAAAAUUCUUAACCCACUCACUUUUUUACCCUUUCUCAAUCCUCCCUCCUAAAUCUCAUACAUCUGUUCAGCGCUUCACAUAUAAAAUACAAAAUAGAGAGACAAGAGAAGGGGCAAAGUCAAAUUGUAAAAGGUAAAAAUCAAAUCCUGAAUCCUUAAUUGAAUUGAAGGGUCGGUGCGAUCUUUAGAAAAGGAAAUAUAUGGGUUAAAGAAUAUAUAAUUGAGUUCAAGCAGGUAGUAUGAAGACUGGAGUGUGACUCUAUUCUACUGUGGCUUGCCCUUGCAGGUAACAGAAAUUAUUCUGUCUUCAAUUUCUCCAACCUUAGUUUUGUUUUCAGAAAUUAAUUGUGAUUUUUUGAAUAUUUAGAUGCAUUUAUCUAACCCGAAAGUAUAAAAUAUUAAAAAAAAUACAAAAAACGCGCUAUAAUUCGACCAGCCGAACAUGCGCACGAACAGAAGAAAAACCUAAAUUGUAUCACCUUUUUCUUCGUGGCAUUAUUGAGUUCCAUAAGUAAUUAAGGAGUGCGAAGUUUUCAAAUUUGGACCAGACCAACUCGAGCUGGAAUUAGGACCAUAAUAAUAAUAAUUGAGCUCUCAUAAUUGGACAGCUUUACAAUUUCACGUAUUUUGACUCGUCCGCAUAGAGUUUUUCAUAGUAAUUUGAUCCAAUCAUCAUCAUCUGUCUCCUGCCACUUCACGUGACAUUCACAUUCCUUCAGUCUAGAAGGACCAGAAAGACGGAGCAAGAGAUGGUGAGGCCAGACAAAACCGUGAGGCUCCAUGCUAGACCAGUUUCUGCAUAUUCGUUGACCAUAGUUCGCACCCACUAUCAUUUAUAGAGCAAGAGAUCAUUUUAUUAUUAUAAUUAUUUUGAUUAGAUUGUUUGGAGUUGCAUCCCAACUGCUUGAUAAAAUGUUGGAACGAAUUAUUUUGGCCUCUUACUGCGUCAGAAGAAGCAAUGAUUAAUGCAUAGUGUGUGGUUGGUUUGCAGUCAGUUCCACUCUAUCUCUCAGAAAUGACACCCCCUAGAUACAGAGGAGCAAUAAACAAUGGAUUCCAGCUUAGUGUUGGAACUGGGGUUAUAACAACUAACCUUAUAAGUCUUGGAACUCAAAGGAUUGAUGCCGGUUGAGGAUGGCAAAUAUUCUAGUCAUGGCUGCAGUCCCAUCAAUUCUAACUCUAGGUGCCAUUCCAACGGCUUAAUUCAGCGUGGCGCUGAUCAUGAAAAGACUAAGCCAAUGCUGCAAAAAGUACGAGGCACUGACAAUGUCCAAGAAGAACUGGAUGAUCUCACUGAAGCAAGUGACAUUUCUAAAACCACCAAACACCCAUUCAAGAAAAUCAUACAGAGGAAAUAUAGGCCUCAACUAGUCAUGGCAAUAACGAUUCCCUUUUUCAACAGGUCUCAGGAAGCAAUGUAAUUGAGCUUCUAUGCCCCAAUUCUCUUUCGAACAUUUGGUUUAGGCGAAAGGGCAUCACUCAUGUCCGCUAUAGUGACGGGGUCUGUGGGAAUUGCUACCAUACCAAUGUUGGCAGUGGAUAAACUGGGGCGGCGGUUUCUGUUUAUUUCUGGUGGGUUUAUAAUGUUCGUCUCACAAAUAAUGGUUGGAGGCGUGAUGGCCGCUAAGCUAGGGGAUCAAGAGGGUUUGAGCAAAGGGUAUUCGGUUGUAGUUCUGAUCUUGAUCUGCAUUUAUGUUUCUGGGUUUAAUUGGUCAUGGGGUCCACUGGGAUGGUUAGUUCCAACCGAAAUAUUUUUGUUAGAGAUACGUUCAGCCGAGCAGGGUAUUACAUUGAGAUUUUUCUUCACUUUCAUUGUUGCUCAAAAGUCAUGCUCUGCCGGCUGUGAUUUUCUUCUUUUUUGGAGUGUGUGGUUGUGAUGACUGGAUUUGUGUACUUUUUAUUGCCAGAAACAAAAAAUGUGCCGAUUGAACAAAUGGAUAGGGUCUGGAAGGGGCACUGGUUUUAAAAGAAAAUUGUGGGAGGAGACAAUGAAGUGAGUAUGAUGGAUUGAGCACAAGAUAUUGAGACUGUACAUAAAAUUUUUACUAUCUACGUGCUAUUUAGUUUAUGAAUGAUUUCUGUUACCUGUACAAUCCAGAAAUACUCAAAAAUUCCCCUUUUUAGAUUAUAAAAUAAUUGAUGUGAAUAUAUAUUGAUUGCAGUUGUUUAUUUAUGUAAAAAAAAAACAUUUAAGUCAACUGUACAGGUAGAUGGGGGUGUUACAGGAAAAGGAAAUAAAGCCAUUUCUGUACAUUUCUUUAAAUUUAUAUUUGAACAAUUUCUCUCUUUGUUAAGGCAAACUCGUACCAUAUAUUUACAUUAAACAAAUUUAUCGUGUAUUCUGUUAAAUUUAUCACAUCCUUCUCAUUGAAGACUGAAUCCCACUGACCUAACCUUGAUCAUUCAACCCCACAGGCCACUUGCUUAUGUACUCCAUAAAGCAAAUUUGGUGGAUGUACCUGUCAAAUUUAAGCUGGACCAUACUGAUGCUGAUCUCUAGCAGUCAAGUUAAUGCUAACAGCUCUCUCUCCCAUAAUCAUCUCAUCUACAAAUAUUUGUCUUUGUAUGUCUAUGGUGUUUGGAGAGAAGCAAUGGCAGUUGGGUUGGGACUAUCAAGUGCAGAUGGACAAUAUAAUGGAAGAAUGACACGGUUUGUUGUGUUAUCUUGCUUGGUUGCUGCCACAGGAGGAAUUAUCUUUGGCUAUGAUCUCGGAAUUUCAGGUUUCCUCCACAAUCCCACUACAUUUCUUCAUCCUACUUUUCUCCUAUAGAAGGAUAACCAAUCUAUUGAUAAAAUAAUAACUCGCUUUGUAAGUAACUACAAAAGGAUCAACGACUGGUCAUAAGUUUUAAAGUUCAUUGAAGGAUGCGUUUCGUUUUUUAAAAUUUCCAUGUGAUUUAUUUUAAAAGAUGGUACAUAUAUUAUAUUAUUUGAGGUUUUGCAGUUACAUGUUUAUUUUCCUAACAGCUAUACAUGAGUAGAACUUAUUCAAAUAUGGUCUUUUCUUUCUUUAUAUGGCUAAGCCUUCUCUCUUUCUUGUGUGUAAUUGUGUAUACGUCUACAAUACUAUAUAAAUUUGAAAUUGUAAUCUGAUGAUACAUAUCAAUGCAACUCUGUUUCUUCAUAAGAAGAAAAAUGCAAGUCCCAGAACAUUCAGAAACCAAGAGAAUCUUGUCUCUGACUGUAAAGACACGAGAAUAUUUAAAAACCAAGACAAAACCUGACCCUUGGUUAUGAUGGUUUAGAACUUAUUUCCAGGCUAAAAUUUAUUGGUGGAGAGGGGUUUUCAGAAGUUGCGAGAAUUAGCCGCCAACGUUGGGGCUUCACUGAUGAUAUGUUUUAAGAUAACAAGCUUUCUUUAAAUAUUCUAUUUAUUUUUGGUUGUACUAUGCUCUUUAUAUGGGGUAUGCCCCUUUAGCUAAUGUUUAAUAAAAAUUUAAUUUCCCCUUGAAAACAAAAGUUGCAACUUAUUAGUUUUAAUUGAUAAAAUCAGAGUGAAAUCAUUCACUGCCCAAGUAUUUUCCUGAAAACAAGAAAUAUAUCAGGUCAGUAAACAAAUAAAAAAGUUUUAAUUACUAAUGAGAUUGCAUGUGAAGGUGGAGUAACAUCUAUGGAACCAUUUCUCAAGAAAUUCUUCCCAGAAGUGUAUAAUAAGAUGAAGGAAGACACCAAGAUUAGCAAUUACUGCAAAUUUGACAGCCAACUAUUGACCUCCUUUACCUCCUCACUCUAUGUAGCUGGCCUCAUUGCUUCCAUCUUAGCUUCACCAAUCACCAAGGCCUUUGGGCGAAAGCCAUCAAUCCUUAUUGGGAGAGCUGUGUUUCUCAGUGGUGCUGCCCUCGGAGGUGCAGCUUAUAAUGUUUACAUGUUAAUAUUUGGUGGCGUUUUGCUUGGAGUUGGAGCCAGGUCGGAUACUCUUUAUUUUUGUAUAGAAUUUGCUCAUUUUUAUGGCAAAUGUCUUGAGUUCAAGUUUUCUUCAUGAGGUGUAUCUUUAGAGAUUUAUUUCAGUAAUUAAUUAGCUCAGUGUACUUAAGAGAACCACCUACACAUGUCUAGGUGGGUUGCUUGGGUUAAGAGAACCAAAUACUCAACCUAACUACAUAGGAAUUUGCGUACCCCAUGAGUCCCAAAAUGAAAUUUUACUUUCAAAAGUAAUAUUCUUAGUCAAUAUGAAAUUUGCAUAAACACUGACAAAGAUCACAGUUUAGUUUAAAUAUGAUAACUUGAUAAGAUUUGGUGCAAUAGUUUUAAAAGUAGACUCAUCUUGAGAUAGAAAUAUAUAACUUUGCCUUAAAAUAUCAAACGGGCUAUAUUUUCAUUCAAUGCGCUAAUACUUUCACUACUAUAUAUGAUAUAUCUUAUUGUUUGCAGUCAGUACCGUUAUAUAUUUCAGAAAUGGCACCACCAAGAUCCAGAGGUGCAAUGACCAUUUGCUUCCACUUUUGUGUUAGUAUUGGUGUUUUAUCAGCUAACCUUUUAAACUAUGGCACCCAAAAGAUUAAAGGUGGUUGGGGAUGGCGAAUCUCCUUAGCCUUGGCUGCUGUUCCGGCUUCAAUUUUAACUCUAGGGGCAAUUUUCCUCUCAGAAACACCCAACAGCUUGAUGCAACAUAACAACAAUCAAGAAAAGGCUAAACGAAUGCUGCAAAAGGUCCGAGGCACUGAUGAUGUGCAAAGAGAAUUUGACGAUAUAGUCAAAGCAAGUGACAUAUCCAAAACCAUCAAAAACCCGUUCAAGAAAAUCAUACAAAGAAGAUAUAGGCCUCAAUUUGUCAUGUCGAUAACGAUUCCUUUCUUUCAACAGGUUACAGGAAUCAAUGUAAUUGCCUUCUACGCUCCACUACUCUUCCGAACAAUUGGUUUAGGGGAAAGUGCAUCACUCAUGUCCGCAAUAGUGACUGGAGUUGUUGGUACUAGUAUGACAUUUAUUACAUUGUUGACGGUAGAUAAUCUUGGUCGAAGAAUUAUGUUUAUAAUUGGUGGAAUUCAAAUGUUUAUUUCACAAAUGUUGGUUGGAGGAAUAUUGGCAGCUAAGUUAGGGGACCAUGGUGGGUUGAACAAAGGGUGUAGUCUUUUGGUUUUAAUCUUGAUUUGCAUUUAUGUUGCUGGUUUUGGGAUGUCAUGGGGUCCAUUGGGAUGGUUGGUUCCAAGUGAAAUUUACCCACUGGAGAUACGAUCAGCCGGACAAAGUAUAACAGUAGCAGUGGGAUUUCUCUUCACUUUCCUCAUUGCUCAAACUUUUCUAGCCAUGCUUUGCCACUUCAAAUCUGGGAUUUUCUUCUUCUUCGGAGGAUGGGUGUCUGUGAUGACUAUGUUUGUUUACAUGUUGCUGCCAGAGACUAAAAAUAUGCCAAUUGAACAGAUGAAUAGAAUAUGGUCAGAGCAUUGGUUUUGGAAGAAAUUUGUUAGUUAAGAGCGUGAGUGGAUUCUCUCUCAAUGCAUUCACCUAAAACCAUCAUAUUCUGAAUUCCUUAAACAAUUAAUGCUUUUGCUUAUUGUUGGGUCCUAUUGGACCACUUUGUAGCUGCACCGAGUCUCUAGCAAAAAUGCCUUCCAUAUUUCAGGUAUUGUAGAGUUGCACCAAAUCAUUGUUCUGGUGUCAGGUGAAGGUUCAUAAUUUAAUCCCAAUAUUCCUUCAAAAUCUACUUCUAGAUUGUCAAUUAAAUUACUUACUUCCUAUCAGUAAUUUUACAUAACUGACUUGAAUAAACAUUUUUAAUUUUUUAUUGACUUUUGUUAAGGUUUGUACUUGGCCAAUUAAACAUUUCAUCUCAUUUAGAUAGUAAUUUUCACUUUUCUUUUAGUAAUUUCUUACUGUUUCUUUACCAUACAAAAAUGAUAUUACACCCCCUCCAUCUCGCUUAAGUUUAAUUUCACAUGAAUUAAGAAUGUCAAAUUGGAUGAAAGCAAAUUUAAUAUUGUCAUCAUUUACCUUUUAAAUAUUUAUAGUUAUCAAAAAAUAUAUAUAUAACAAAAUAAAAUUUAUAUAGUGGGACACACUCAUUGAUAAUUCUUAUGUGGGUGCAUAUAAACUUGUAAUCAAGACAUUCAUGAAACCCUUUAUAUUUAUAAUUAUGAUAUGAGUUUAAGGUGAAAUACCAAAUUAUUAACCCUUUUUUAUUUUUACUUUUUUAGGAAAAACUUUGAUGGAAAUAUCAUUAAUGAACUUGAAGUUAUUAUCUGUCUGUUGCGAGUUACUACUAUAAACAAUCAUAAGGAUUCAUCUAAAUCUUUAUAUAUAUAUAUAUAUAUAUAUAUAUAUAUAUAUAUAUAUAUAGUGUCCAAAAAACUCAGUUUUUAUAGUAACAAAAAUAUGACCAUAGGUUGCAUGUAAAAUAAAUAGUAGAUAUUGACCAAUGACCAUAUAACUUGUCAUAUUUAAUGUACAUGUCAAUUUUAAGCUGGACCAUGCUGCUGCCAAUCUCUAGCAGUCAAGUUGGACUGCUAGCUAGUUUUCUCAACUUUCAUAAUCAUUAUACUAGUUUGCUCUUUCUAUCUCUCUCCCUCUCCUCUGUUUGUGUAGCUAGAUAGUGUUUGUAUCUGAGUUUGGGGGCUGGGAAUUAACGAUGGCAGCCGGGAUGGGAGUAACAAGCGCUGCAGAUGGCCAAUAUUAUAACAGCAGGAUGACACUGUUUGUUUUGUUAUCUUGCAUGGUUGCUGCAACUGGAGGAAUUAUCUUUGGCUAUGACAUUGGAAUCUCAGGUCUAUAAUUUCUCAGCCAGUACAGUUAUUAAUCCUUCAUUUUGUUUUUCGCUAUAUAUAAAAUCGUGGUGUCCAAUCUAUUCAUUGUAUUGAUGAGAAAUGGCCCUUUAACUGACUGCAAGAAGAUACGUUAAAUGGUUUGCAAAUCUUAAAAUUCAUCAAAAUAUUGUUUUUCAUUCAUUGUUUUUGUAUUUUCGCGUUAUUUACUUGUAAGAAUUAUCAGUCCACUUCACUUUGCUUCCUUGUUGCUAUCUGAGAGGAUUUGUUUGGAGAUCAUUUUAAAUCUCAUUCUUGAUGUGCAGGUAUGUGCAUGUCUGUAACUGCAUAUAAAUAUAUAUGUGUGAAGUUGUAUUUAAGGAUACAUUGCAAAGGCAAUUUUAUUAGAGGAAAAAGUCGAACUGAAACUGAUAGAAUCGUAAUGAACUUUUACCGACAGGGAUUUUUUUCCCCAGCUAAAACUCUCUCUCUCGUUCUGUAAGGGAAAAUGAAAAAAAUGAAAACGAGUGGUAUGAUCAGCUCAGUGAGAGUUCAAAUUUAUUGUUAGUACUAAUGGUAAUUGAAUUUGUAGGUGGGGUUACCUCUAUGGAGUCAUUUCUUAAGAAAUUCUUCCCAGAGGUGUACAAUAAGAUGAAGGUGGACACCAAGAUUAGCAACUACUGCAAAUUUGACAGCCAACUGUUGACCUCAUUCACAUCCUCACUCUAUGUUGCUGGUCUCAUUGCUUCGUUCUUUGCUUCACCCAUCACCAAGGCCUUUGGCCGCAAGCCAUCAAUCCUCAUCGGUGGAGCUGCUUUCUUAUGCGGUGCUGCCCUCGGAGGCGCAGCUUAUAAUAUCUACAUGCUAAUAAUAGGUCGAGUUUUGCUUGGAGUUGGAGUCGGCUUUGCUAACCAAAUACCCAUACUAGUCUUUCCUGUCACUUUUUAAACAUACAAAAUUUGAAAGGAAUGAGGAAAACAUAUACUAUUUCCUUUUAUCCACAAACUAGAUUUAUUUACAUGUUGGUUAAUUUUUUAACUAGUCUCUUUCUGUCCACAGUCAGUACCACUAUAUCUCUCAGAAAUGGCACCACCCCAAUCCAGAGGAGCAAUGAACAUUGGCUUCCAAUUUUGUGUUGGCAUUGGUGUUUUAUCAGCUAACCUUAUAAACUAUGGUACCCAAAAAAUUAAAGCUGGUUGGGGUUGGCGAAUCUCCCUGGCCAUGGCUGCAGUUCCGGCUUCAAUUCUGACUCUUGGUGCAAUUUUCCUCCCAGAAACACCUAACAGCUUACUUCAACACAACAAUAACCAGGAAAAGGCUAAACGUAUGCUGCAAAAGGUUCGAGGCACUGAUGAUGUCCAAACAGAGUUUAAUGAUAUAGUCAAAGCAAGUGACAUUUCCAAAACCAUAAAAACCCCAUUCAAGAAAGUAUUACAAAGAAAGUACAGGCCUCAACUUGUCAUGUCAAUCGCCAUUCCAUUCUUUCAACAGGUGACAGGAAUCAAUGUAAUAUCCUUCUACGCACCGGUACUUUUUCGAACAAUCGGUUUAGGUGAAAGUGCGUCACUCAUGUCUGCUGUAGUUGUUGGGGGUGUUGGUACUUGUAUGACAUUUGUUUCAUUGUUGAUAGUAGAUAAACUUGGUCGAAGAGUUAUAUUUAUAAUAGGCGGAAUUCAAAUGUUUAUUUCGCAAAUGCUGGUUGGAGGGAUAAUGGCAGCUGAGUUAGGGGACCAAGGUGGGAUGAGCAAAGGGUAUGGUUUUCUGGUCUUAAUCUUGAUUUGCAUUUAUGUUGCUGGUUUUGGCUUGUCAUGGGGUCCGUUGGGAUGGUUGGUUCCAAGUGAAAUUUUCCCACUGGAGAUCCGAUCAGCCGGACAAAGUAUAACUGUGGCUGUGGGAUUUCUCUUCACUUUCCUUGUUGCUCAAACUUUUCUAACCAUGCUUUGCCACUUGAAGUCUGGGAUUUUUUUCUUUUUCGGAGGAUGGGUGGCUGUGAUGACCUUGUUUGUGUACAUGUUACUGCCGGAGACUAAAAAUUUGCCAAUUGAACAGAUGGAUAGAAUAUGGAGGGAGCAUUGGUUCUGGAAGAAAUUUGUUGUUGAUGAAGAAGAGUCUAAAUCAGGGAUAUAAAUAUUUUACCGAAUGAGUUCAGCGAUAUAUCUUAUACAGCCCAGACUCUGUAAUACCCGGAGCUGAUGUUUUAUGGUAAUAGCGGUAGAUGAUCCAAAUCUCUUGGGAAAAUAUGAUAUUAUAUAUAUAUAUAUAUAUAUAUAUAUAUGGUUUAUGCAUGAUUUCAGUUACUUGUAUAAUCCAUGAAUGGUCAAGUACAAAAUGGGCAAAGGUGCAAAAAUGCUCCUGAUGUUUACACGGAUAUUUCACUUUCACCUUAAACUAAUUAUUUUUUCAAAAGUACCCUUAACGUUACAAAUUUAAGGUCAAUUGUGUCCCUCCCGUUAAAAAAAAUUCAGCUAGACAAACAGACAUGCUAAAAGAUUGACACGUGACAAAAAUAAUUUUUUUUUAUUCUUAUCUCUUUCUUCUCUCUCUCCUUUCUUCUUCCACUGUUCUAAAAUAACAAAACUGAACUUUUUUUUGACGUGCUAAGCGAUCGACCUUUUUUUGAUAUUCUUUUUCUCUUUCUAGAGAGAGAGACUGAGAGAGGGGUGGUUGGAGGGGGAAAGGGCGAGGUAGCUGCACUUCUUGUGAAAAGGUCAUCUUUUGACGCUCCCCCCCUCUAUUCAUCAUCUUUUUCCUUUUCCUUUUUGUAAUUUUCCACUUCCUCACUCUGUUUUCUUCUUCUAAAUAUGAUCUCUCUCGUGUUUCUCUGAAAAGACUUGCUUCUUCAACUUUACUGAUCCUAUCUGAAAUUGGGAAAAGUUUCAACCUUUUCAUAAAUUUAUCAUCUCAUUCCAAAAGGGUACCUUUGUUCUAAGCAUUUAGGUUCUCUAUCGCGUAAAGAAAGAUGAGAGCUUCAUGUAAGAGAUUUCCAUUAAUGGACCUUUCUGUGUCCUUUUUUCUGCAGAUUUCGUUACUCCCAAGUCCCAAUCCCGUUACUCUCAUUCAUCCAAUCAAAUCUUCUUUUAAUAUAGUAGUAUAUUUUUGUUUAUCUCUGCAUAGCAGGUACAAUUAAUCUAAUAUAGUAGUAAAUUAUUUUUGUUAUUUUAGGACAGAGGAAGAAGAAAGGAGAGAGAGAGAGAGAAAAAAGGGAAGAGAAAAGACAAGAAUAAAAAAAAUUUAUUUUUGCCGUAUGUCAAUCGUUUAGCGCGUCUGUUUGUCUAGCUGAAUUUUUUUUAACGGGAAGGAUACAAUUGACCUUAAAUUUGUAACGUUAAGAGUAUUUUUGAAAAAAAAUUAGUUUAAGGUGAAAGUAAGACAUUCGUGUAAACAUUAGGGUAUUUUUGCACUUUUGUCCAGUACAAAAUUGCUAUUAUUAUUUUCAUGGCACUAAUCAUUAUGAUUUCAUUUUCUCUCAUAUUAAAACAACUUAAUUCAUUUAAAGACAAUUUGUUUGUUUGUUUUUUCCUUUUUAGUUUUUAGGAAGAUAAAGUAAUUAAUAUGUUUUGUUUUUAAGUAGCAAAACAUAAACAAAUUUGAUUGACAUAAUUUAUUUUUUUGAGUUUUGGGCUCAAAUAUUUGAAAAAAGAACAUGUUUUUUGGGAUAAAAAAUAUAACCAAAAAUUAGAAAAAAAAACAAAUCCUUAAUCACUAGAGUUUGGCGAGUUGAUUGUAAUUUGGAUGAAUUUUCUUAUGGAUAAUAUUUAAAAUUGAUUUGGUAUAAUUUGAUUUUUCUUUUUCUCCCAACACGAGGGGGGAACAUUUGAAACGCGAAAGGCCCGCAUAACCGUUAUAUUCGUUUCAAAGCUACAGAUGUAGAGUAGAGGAGAGGAGAGGAGGUCUAACCUGACUGCGCGACCACUGACAAGUACCUGCACCCAGUCAGUCAGCUCCCGCAGUCAGUCAAUGCCCUUUAUAAUUUCUCUCUCCUCAGACGAUCAAACUAACAGCUCUCUGUUUCAAAUUUCAACUCUUCGAAACAAAGGUAAACCAUUUCUCUCUUCUGUAUAGCCAAUUUAGGGUUUCCAGACAAUCAAUCUUUUCAAGCUCUUCUGUACUUAUUAGGUUUUGGAUGACCCUUUUGCUUGGUUGCCGAGUAUAUAUACACUAAAGAAUUCAAAAACUUGGAAAUUAAAUCUUUGUUUGAUGUUGAUUCGAUCCUCCAAGAAACGAAUCUAUCAUAAAGUAAAGUAUACACGUUCUUUAGAAGAAAAAAAUUCUUCCUUUUUGCCAUUUUCCGGUUUACAAUAUUGGCCUUUUCGUUUUCAGUUAUUGAUUCAUGGACUUGUUUGAUUAUUACUAUUAUUGCUCUUUGAACACUCAUGUUUGCAUGUUUGGGUGUUCACUUUAUGUUUAUUGCUUUAAAUAGGAAAUAUAAUGAAGGAAUAAAUAACUUUCUGUUGAUUGCUUUAAAUAGGAAACAUAAGGAAUAAAUAGAUAAACUGACUCAUGCUCAUUUUGUUUAGUUAAAAGAUUAUUGAUUUCGAUUACCAAGGAUUGGUUUGGGAUUUGGAAAGAGGAAAGGUAAUGAAAACAUAAUUAAAAAAAAUUGAAGUAAUAGAAUUUCGUUCAUAAUUGAUACAAGCUCAACUAUAUCACUCUUAAAAAAUGUAAGACCAAACAUAAUGAUAGAAAGUUUGUUAGAUUGUUAUUGUAAUUUUUUUCACUCUCUCCUUAGUUUAUGUCUUUCUUUUCUUUAUCCACGCACUUUCCGAGCUCCUAAGAAAGCUAAGUGAAAAGUUACAUUAAUUCAACUUCAAGAGUUAGGCUUUCAACUCUUUACUUCCACCCCAAUAAUUACCAAAUAAGUAGUUAUAGUAAAUAUUGAACUAUUAAUAUAGUAUAUAUAGUCAAUAUUAGUUACAAACAAACAUGAGUCUUCUUAGAAAGUGAAUUUUUUCUUUUCUUUACCCACACACUUACCGAGCUCCAAAGAAACCUAAGUGAAAUAGUUAAGACCAAAUAAAUAGUUAUAGGAAAUGCUGAACUAUUAAUAUUAGUAUCUAUAGUUAAUAUUAGAGUGUCUUUAGUACAUUGGAUGGAAUUUAUUGGAUUAGUGAUAACUAAUCAUCCUUAAUCUGACCUUUACAUAUCCAUUUUGGAACAGGGAAGUUAAUUAAUUUUCGUUGUCAAUAUUGGCUUUUAGUGUCACUUCAAUGCCUUCAGCCAUCUCACCUCAGUGGCAGGAGAAGGCUAGCGAUUUCUUUUCGACUUCAGGUAAAAAUUAACUUAUAGAUUCUCUGUAUUUUGUUAAUAUCCUUAUUUCUUCUUUACCUUUACGGUGAAUAUACUUAAGUUGUUGGUUCAGGUGUGAAGCUUAAAGAAGCUGGGCAAUCCGCCGGAACAUUUGUUGGUGUGGUUGCGAAGGAUGCAAAAGGUAACGUAGCGGAUGUGGCAGAAAAAGUUGGGUCAAUAGUGAAAAGUCGAUGGUCAUUUCUUCAGCAGCCAUCUACGAGACAUGCCAUGCAAGAGCGUCUUAUUUCCGCUGCUGCUACAACUGGCAUGUUGUUUAGGAAGGGUGUUUCAGAAACAAAAGAUAAGGUCACUGUUGGAAAGACGAAGGUUGAAGAGGUAAUUUUAGCAUAGCUUAUUACUAGGCAGUCAUUAAACAUGCAUUCUACUGAUUAAAUAACAAGAGUUGUAGGGUAAAGGUGUCUUUGGGAGUUAUUUUGUCUUGAGUUAAAGAAACAGAUUGCUGAGUGAGUGAGAUCAGGUAAAUUUAUGUACAGUUGUCUUGAUUUUCACAGGAAUGUGUUGGAAAGUAAAUUUUAAGGAGCAGAUAGCCUUUCAUUUUAUUGCUGAAGUUGGUCUAUUACUUGCUACAUGGUCUAACUCUUGUUCUGCCCUCUGACAUAUUUCAUUAGUUCUACAUGGACAUAUUGAGAACGUUCAAGCAAUUAUGUACUGUGGAGCCUUAAUUGUCAUUUAUUGAAAGAGGACAGAGAAAUAGAACAUCAACUUAACAAGAAAAAUGGAAAUACAACAUCAUUGAUCAUCUUUCAAUGUGGAAUCCAAUCAUUUUCUGAGGAGGUUAUACCAGCGUAGACUAGCCAUUGGGUAGGCAAUGGAGGUGGGAAGUCGGAAUUACACUUUAUCUAAUUUACUUCACUUCUUAACUAUAGAUUAAUGGUAACAAGAACAAAGAUUUUAUCGCGAGAUGGUAAUGUAUAGAGUUGCAUUCAUAAAGAUCAUUUACUUUUUUGAGUUGGUACAUAUCAUUCAGGUGGCAAAGAAGACUGCACAAAAGAGUAAGACUCUUUUGACUGAUUUUGAGAGAUGGCAGAAGGUAUGUAUUUGUGUAAAAGAUAAAUUAUUAAAGUAUGUGGUUUGCAAUUUGGAGUUUUCUUAGCUUUCUCAUUUCUUUUGCAGGGAGUUGCAAGCACAGAUGGUAAGCUUCUCCUACUUUGCCCAUCGUUAGCUUAUCAAUUGAUGGUUCCAAAAGUGCAGAAUUUUUUCUUCCUGGAAAUUCAUAGAUUAUAUAAUUAUUAUAGGUGGAGCACAUUUCAGUAUCAUUUCCUUUGUUUUAUUAGCCAGUCAAACCUUUUUUAUAUAAUGAGAAAAUAGGAAUCAUAUUUAUGGAGGGCAUAUUGGUGAAGACUAUUAGGAACAAUUUUUUUGUCUUCCAUUUAUUUUGGGAAAAUUUGCUUCCCACUCAUAGGAUUGGAAAAAUGGUCUGAUAUUAAUUUCGUAAUUUGCAUGGCAUGCAUAGAGGGUUCGGUUUACAUUUUCCUUAGUCAGACGGUGACAGCAAAGAUGUACAUACAUAAGGAAGAACGUCCCUGCUUUUAUUUUUAGUUUUCUGAAUAUGGAGUACUAACUGUUAAGUAUAGAGGAGCAAACUAAAUAAAUCUCCUUCAACAAAGCUCUAGUCACCUAUAAACAAAUGAAUGUAGAAGUCAUCGGAACUUGACAAUAGGAGCCAGAAUAGCAGAGAGAUAAGGUCACUUGCUUAACCCUAAAAAGUGGAUCCUCAAGCUGAUAGACUGCAGUGUAGAUUUCGAAGCUCCUAGUAAAAGCUAUUAAGGCAAUUGAGAAGCUUGAACCAAUUAUUACCAAGUAAUCUAUUAAUCUUUGACGUAUUAAAACUAGUGUUAUUACAACAAUCGUACAUAUAUAGUUCAAAGUAAACUUCUUUGUAAGUUACUCUUAUUUUUCAGGCUCAACCUUCCAAACGUUAUUAUUUGACUUGAUAAUGAUUUUAGGGUAUCAUGUGAAAAGGGUUUUAUGAUUGCCUAUGUGAUCUGGGAGAUCUGAUUGGUUGAUUCUUUGAUCAAUGACUUUGCUAUUUGGGGGCCUCAAACCAUUCUGGUUGUAAAAACUUUAUUAAAUGUUCUGGCGUGAUUAAUAAAGAGUCAAGUCAAGGGUAUCUGUUUUGGUAUGGUUGUGCUUUCUUAUUUUACUUCGUAUCCACAUUAGCACUCUUGCACUGGAACCAUGGAAACCUAUUGUUUGAGAAAGUGUACCAUAUGAUGCUUUUGAUUUUAUUUUUUUCCAGUUAACGUGUAAAAUAUCUUGCCUCUCAUUUUACGUGUUUUCUUCAGUAUUUGGAGUUCCAAUUGAAGUUACUGUUCAGAGGCAACAAUCCACCCGGCCUAUUCCUUAUAUCCUGGUCAAAUGUGCGGAUUAUCUCGUAUUAUCAGGUGAUUUGCAUGACAAUAAACAAGUCAAUAAUGGUCUUUUACAUUUUUACACAAUUUUGACCAUUUUCUUGUUGGUUUAGGACUGAACUCGCAAGAGUUAUUCAAAUCUGAAGGAGACAAAAAGGUUAUUCAGCAGUUAGUUUCAUUAUACAACCAAGGUAUUAUGUGCAAGAUCAUAUGUUGACUUUCAGCAGUUCUAUGUGGCUGCACUUAUUUUCUAAUAUUAGUUACCCUUUACAGAUUCCAAUGCUUCACUACCGGAGGGUAUAAACCCUGUCCAUGUUGCGACUCUGAUCAAGUGUUACCUUGAAAGCCUGCCUGAGCCUUUAACUACAUUUGUACUACAUGAUGAAAUCAGGAGCGCUCGUUCGAGCAUAAAUGUUAUGAGAAACAUAUUGAAGAGGCUACCGACUGUUAACUAUAUGACACUAGAACUGAUUACUGCACUCCUGCUCCGCGUUAGCCGGAAGUCCCUUCUUACCAAGGCAAUCUCUCUCUCUUCUCUCUGUCUCGCUCUCUCUGUCUCCCCCAUUCUCUCUCUGUCACUCUGUUGUUCUCAUGGUACUAAAAUUGUACAGUUAAUCUAUUUUUUAAGAAAAUAAAUUUUAGUUUUAGACGUUGAAUGUUGAUUGUUUCUCCUUAAAAUUGAAAAAUGAUGGUGUCUUGAAAUUAGCUAUAGCUAUUUGAUUAUUCUAUUUAUUAAGAGUAAGGCUUGUGAUUGAACAUUCAAUUUAUAACUUGUUAGGGAAAUUGUAUCGGAUCGGCAUGCUUGAUGAUUGCUACUUCUUACAGAUGGAUGCUCGCAGCCUUGCUACGGAAAUGGCUUCUAUCAUCAUAUGGCAGAAGGGACGGAGGCCAGACUUUUAUAGACAGUUUUGGAAUCAACCAUCGAAAAAUCAAUCCAAGACUAAUGUGGAUCCUGCACGUGAUAAUGGUGAAUUAGAUAUGCUUGCAGGUGAAAAAUCUGAUCUAUACACCUUAAUUGCAUGCAUAUAUAUCUAGUUUAAGUUUGGAAAAGUUUGUUUAUAUUGACUUGGGAGGCACAUAUGCAGUCAUAACUAUUUGCUGGACUUUUUCUUGAAAUAAUUAGCUUCUGAUAUCUACAAAUAAAAAUGUAUGUGGGCAUUAGUAGAUCCUGGCUUGUGAGAUUUCAGGAUGGAUAAAUUGCAUUAAAUGAAGUGAUAUAUUCUUAGCAAUGCUUAAUACAACAGGGAGGCAGUUUAGUUUGAUUGGUAAUUACUUUUGUGUGAUGUUUGGAUUUGAUAGAUACAUUAGCUAGUAACCUGUCUUUCAUAGAUGAUGUGAUUUCGUUGGGUUUCUGAGACAUUUUCCCUUUUCCUCUUCAAGUUUUGAUGUUUAAAACUCUGAAUAUAGUAUUAGAUUUCCUUUUCCAUCUACAAAAAGGAUAAUUUAUCUGCAAUGUUUUUUUUGUUUUGGCAACAAAACGAGAGUUAUUAAUUUGUUAACUCUAAAUGAUUACCAAACUUAAUUAAUUUGUCAAUUUAUCCUAUAUAUUAGAUGGAUAUAUUUGUAUUCGUCACUCUUCUUUGUUGUCGCCAUCAUCAUUAAUUGGUGUGUUUUAAUGUGGUAGAUUCAGUUGAGAUUACUGAUUUAUUUAAUUACUGUUUCGAUAUGUGAUUACAGAAGAAAGGGAAGGAGAAGAUGUAUCCUCCCCCAUCCCCUUGGAUGAUGGGCUGCCAAUUGACUUUGGUGCUAUUGAUGCUGUCCAGUGCUUAAUAGAACAUCACAAUACCAUUUUUACAGAUGCUAAUGAAACUGUCUGGAGAUGAAUUUGACUGACAUAUAUCCCAGUUGUGCAUGGAUCCUUGAGAUUGGACUUGUACUUUGCAAUUUCUCUAGAUGUAAAUUCCCUUGUAUAAAAGUUGGGUUUUGGGGGGAAAUUUAUAUUAUAUUAUUUUAAAAUAAAUAUUUUUUUAUUUAAUAUUUUAUUUGUCGUUAUUCAAUUUGGAGUGUUAGAAAUAAUAUUUAGAAGUCAUUAAUUAUUAGAAUCACUAGAAUCAUUUCACAUAAUCACAUGUAUAGAAUCUACAAUCAAAUUAAUAUGUAUUGUUACAAAAGUAGGAGGUGGUUGUGUGUAUUAAUUUUUGAUAUUCCAACACUCGGACUAAACUGUAACAAAAAGUGUAUACUUAAUCUACUUGUGUAUUAUGUUAGUAGUAUGAAUUAUUUGUGCUUGUAUAUAUCACGUCUCCGUCUCUAAAGGGUAACAAUAAACAAAUUAAUAAUUCAUCUGUCAUAAGCAUAUACUUUUUCUAUUUCAAAUUAUGUAAUUUUUUAAAAGUCAAUUUAAGAUAUUUAAAAGUACAAAAUUAAGAUGACUAUAUAUGAAAUAAUAAAAUUUAUAUAGUAUUUGGAAAAAUCAAACUAUUUUGAUAAGGAGUAAAAGUCGGGCAAUGGCAUUGCAGCAUCUCCACAUGAACGAAGAGUGUUGGAAUAAGAAUGGAAGAUGACACUCCUCCUCCCACAUUCAUGCCAACCAAUUUUUUCAGCUUUUACGCUGCUGCGACUUCUCUGAUCACCACUCAAAUUGUAACGAUAGACUUCCUCUUCGGUUGCAACGAGGAGCAAAUUCCCAUUCAAAAUUGUGAACCCUGAUAUCGUUGCUUCCUUGUUCAACCCCAUGCCUUUCACGCCCGCUUUCAUAAUCCUCUUCCACUUGCCCGAAUCAUCUUCUUCCAUUAAAACCCAUACGCUAAACACCAAUUUCAUCAAUUUCACCACACAAAUUGAUUCCAAACAAGUUGUUGGAUCUUUAAACUUGAAAAUGGCCACCAUGCAACUUUGGUCAUGCACAACUCCCUUUCUCGCCCCCUUUGGUAUUUUCAAGAAUCUUGACACGGAGUUGUUGAUAUUAUAACACACUAUGUAUGGCCAAUAAAAGGGACUAUUUGUGGUUAAGUAAUUGCCACAAUCCGAAAUAAAAUAAACUUUGCCACCGAGAUAAACAGGCAUCUGAUAUUGAAUCUCUCUCGGCCCAACAAUUAUCUCUCCUACCUCUUCCCAUAUCCUUUUGCCAGGCGAAUAAAUUUUACAAUUCGAUUUUGAAGUAUCCCAGUGUUCAGACUCUGGUAAAACGACCAUCAACGUAAAAUAAUUCGAAGCAUGACCAUUGCAUUCAAACACAAUAUUCAAUCCUGUUGUCGGAUUAAAAUCAUUGGCGGGUUUAACCAGUGGCAGCCAUGUUUGUGUAGCUGGAUUGCAUACUAAUAGAGGGUAUUCCCCUUGGUUUAAGUUUCUGCAACAGAGUAACCCGUUGCUGGAAGCAAGAACAGGGCCAAUGUUUCUUAGAAAGUCGAGGGACUCUUGAGGAAUUCCACAUGAAGAUUCAUCAAUAUUAGAUAAAGGGUGUAGUUCUAGGGCGGUUGGGUUAGAAUUAUGGGGAAAUUUUGGCUCAAGAAAGAAACUUUGAUCAUCUUUAGGCUCCAUGUUUUUGCAUUGUGUUUUGGCGAAGAAAUUGUCGGUUGGAAAUUCAUUGCAUUGUUUUGAAAUUGCUGCGAAUUUGAAGAUGGAUUUUGCAGGAAGAUGGGAAAAAAUAUCAAAUAGUACCCCCUCCAUUCUUAUACGACGAAUUUCUUGAUGAUUAAUUUAGGAAAAGGAUUGUUGCCUCUUGUGCUACAAACUCAGAAACAACAAAUAUAUAUAGAGUACGAACCUAAUGCUCGGUUUUUGAAAAUUUGUACCCUUUUACCUAAUGCUCGAGUGUGGCCUCCAAAAGUAACUUUUCUGGUAAAAAUCUUUUAACUGUAUUUUUUCUAAGCUGAUAGAGAAUCCAAAAUUUGUAUUAACUAUCUAUUUUCUUUGGUCCUUACCCUCUCUUAUUAGUCAUCUGAUCCAUAAUAGGCUAGGAAGGAGAUUCCAAUACUUAUCUAGAUAAUAUUAUUUAAUAAUAAUAUAUAAAAUAAAUAUUAAUUAUAAUUAAUUCCACUAAAUAAUUAUAAUUGCACCUCAAUCCAAGAAUUAAUUAAAUUAUUCAUUUACUAAAAAGCUGUAAAUAUUACAUAAAUAUUUCAUAAUCAAUUAAUAUAAUUCAAAUAUAUUUAAACUAAUUUCAUAAGUCCAUAAUUUAUCUCUAUUUGAUCAUAAAUUGAUUUAACAAUUAAAUCAAUUCUUAUAAUAAAAAAUAUUAAAUUGACCAUUCAAUUCUUAUAAUAUGGAGAUAUAUAUAAACAAACUAAAUGACCAUUUAAUGAAUGAUGUAUUUUUAUUAAUAAAUAAAUGUCCAGUAUAAAUAAAUUAACAUUAAAUAAAUAGAAUUUUUGUAGCAAAAAAUUCAACAAUAUAUAUAAUAAAUAUUAAGGUUUAUAUAGGGUUAGGAAGUGAUUUUUUUUCUUCAAUAAUAAUUUAAGUAAUUAAUGUUAAUGUGGGUAAAUAAUAAUUAUUAUUUUUUAUUUGAUGUGUUCAUUAUACGCAAACUUUUGUACUCAUAAGAAAAAAAAAAUUCAAAUAAUACAAUAGGUACUCUAUCUUCUAGUUUUAUUAAUAGAUGGAGAAAUAAGAAAUUAAUAUUUAUUACUUAGCACAAAAUUUGAAAGGAGGAGGAAAAGAAAGAAUUAUGAUUUUAAUUCGAUUAGAAUAUUGAUGUGGCAGAGUAUAAUUAGUGGAUAAUCUAUCGUACGCAAGUGAGUCUAGAUAUAAACAAUUUUUUGUAAAAAAAAUUUAUCAUCAAAAUACUAUAGUUAUUUUUGGUAUGUAUUGUUGGGUAAACUUGAUUAAAAAUAAAAUAUAUAUAUAUCUAAUUUUGAAAUGGGGACGAUAUAUUAUCCAAAUUUCUAUUAAAAAUUCGUUUACAACAUACAAUUCUUUGUAGCUUUUAUAUAUCCAUACACCCUAAAACUAUUUUUUUUUCUUUUUCAAAAGUUAAUAAUUUUAUAAUGAAUUUUAUUUUGUGAGUUACAUGUAUUUCUUGUAAUAUUCAAUGACCAACAAACCGAGUACAAAAAUAAAAAUAUUAUUGUGGAGUUGAAAGCAUAUAAUAAUAUUCACAAAAGUACACUUAUAACCCCUCAACUUUCACUAAAGUACAAAAAAUUUAAACUGAAAAAAAGAAAGAUUCUCAUAUAUGUCAAUUUAUUCCCCAUUAAAAAAAAUUAUUAUAUUAGUCUGCAACCUUUUUUGUUGACCGUGAUUGGGCUAUUACUGAUAAAUGGUCCGACAACUUAAUAGCCCUAAUUAUUUAAAAACACAAAGCCCAGUCUAUCAAAGUAACAUCGGAAACCAAAAAAUUGACCUUUCUCCUCCAUCAUCGUCGACAAACUAAAGAAUUAAUCUGAACGACAAAAGUCAAUAGCUCCUCAAAUGGUGGCAAUCAGUCCUCUCUUCCUCCUAACACUCCUGCCUCUAGUAAUACUCUUAUGCUUUUUCAUGUAUAUAUAUAUAUAUAUAUAUAUAUAUAUAUGUGCCUCUAUAUAUGUAUUUAUGUUUAUUUAUUUGUACAGUCAUCUUGGCUGUUAUGUUGAAAUUGGGUUUUGGGUAUGCUUGUUGGUUCUGUGUUUGUUCAAUCUUCGUAAGGCCCCAUUUGGCAAAUUGUAUGGAUUUAAAAGAAAGAAGUUGAAAAACAGAGAACAACUGUCAUUCUAAAGCUAAAGAAAUAAUUUCAAUUCAUUUAUAAUAUGUAAAACGGAAACCAAAUUAAAUAUAUUUCUCCACCCUAGAUGAAAAUAGGGGAAUGGAGAGAACAAAUUAUGAAUAUAAUUGUAUGACUAUUUUUUUUUUUCACCUUUCAAGAAAACGAAAUUUUUUGGUUAGUUAGCCUAAUUAAGCUCAGUUGUGUUAAUGGUUUAGCUCAUCAAUGUUUUGGUUGUUCUGCCAAAAGCUUGUACAUUAAACCUUUUGUGAUAAUGUUGAGCAGGCCUUGGGACAUGAGGUUGAAAAUUCAAGGCUGUACCCUUUCGUUGUGAGUACCUGGCCAUUCGUGGAAGCUGUUAAAGCAGCAUGGACAGCUGCUAAUAGCGGAUUUUCUGCAGUAGAUGCGGUUGUGGAAGGUUGUGCAGCUUGUGAGGAAUCAAGAUGUGAUGGCACAGGUUGGAUUCUGUAAACACCCAUAAAUAUUAUUUUUUUGGUAUUAUUAAGGCAUGCUAUUCCAUUACAAAUUAUCGGGGAGGGGGAGGGAAGGUGAGAAUUGAACUCCGAUAUCCACUACGGGGGGUUGGAUCCUUGCCAAUGCUACAAGCCUACAAGCCAGAUUCUCACCCAUAAAUAUUUAGUUUAGUGUAAUAAUAUUUUAUCAUGUGAAGUGUAGAGUAUUCUGGAGUAUUUAUGAAUUAUGAUAACAGCUAAUUACUAAGAUUUUAUUUCCUUAUUUUAUUAGGUUACUUAAUAUUCCUUCUGUUUCAAAAUAUAAAUAUAAGAUUAUUAUUGACUUUUGAAGUCAACUUGAGACACUUUCAAACUCAAAAUUGACAUGAAUUCUUUUAAUUUUAGUCAAUACAAUGAUAUAUAUCUAAUUAACAAAACACAACUUAUUUUGAAUUUCCCGCUCAUUUUAAUAAAUGAUCAGAACCGUCCAAAGUUUGGGAUAAAUCUCACCGUUCAUUAUAUCCUCUUUAACUUCAAAGGAUAAAAAAUUGUUCUCUCUCACUAUCAGAUCCUCCUUCGUUCUUCCUCCUCUCGAGCUCGCCCUCUGUCUCCUCCAUUCUCUAGCGCCGACAAUCUCUCCUCCCCUUCGUACAUAGUGCCGGAGGCACGGGUAGUACGACUAGUUGUAAAAUAUCUAAAAAGUAUUACUCAUUUUAUGAUUUAUUGUUUCAUAAUUUUUAAUGAAUUAUCUCAAUUUUAAGUUUAAAAAUAUUCUAAAUUCACUUUAAAUAGUCAAUAAUGAUCUUAUAAUUUGGAACGAAAGCAAUAUUUUACUUGAUCAUUAAGUAUUAAGGUUUUUCUUAUUCCUAUAUAAACAGUUGUAAUCUAUCUUUUAAGAGGUAUCAAAUAGUUGAUAUUAUUGAAUUUUAAAUCUUGUGCUUAUGGCUGUUACCCUAAUUAUCUUCUUUUAAUCCCCUUUAUUCCUUUCUCCAUCCUCCUCCUACAUCAAUAGUGGACACAGGGUCGACUAAUCUGAAUUGGCUAUUUUCUUGUUGGUUAGUUUUUUAGUUUUUAGAAGUGUUGAUAGUUGUAAUUUAUGCUGACAUUUUUAACUUUGGUCUGAUUUUUGUAUGGACAGUUGGGCCUGGUGGUAGUCCAGAUGAAAAUGGUGAAUCUACAAUCGAUGCUUUGGUCAUGAAUGGGGUAACAAGGGUUUCAUAUUUUUUUAGACAUAAUGUUACCCUUUGUUAUUCUUGCAAGCAUUUAAAUUUAUAAUCUAUCUUGGGUCUGCUAAGACUUGCCCAGGUGACAAUGGAGGUUGGAGCUGUUGCAGCCAUGAGGUUUGUCGGAGAUGGCAUCAGAGCUGCCAGAUUAGUGAUGCAGCAUACUGAACACACUAUGCUUGUUGGAGAUCAAGCCUCAGCCUUCGCCAUUUCAAUGGGUCUUCCAGGACCCUCAAAUCUUAGUUCACCUGAGUCCUUGGAUAAAUGGAUUAAAUGGAAAGAGAAUCGCUGCCAACCAAAUUUUAGGAAAAAUGUUCUACCCAGUAAUAAUUGUGGUCCUUAUCAUCGAAAGGAUCAUGUGGACUUUGGUGAGAAUGUAUGUUUGAUAAACAAUCUGGUAGAAAAUUGCAGAUCAAUAUCAUCUCAUGUUGGUCUGCACAACCAUGACACGAUAUCCAUGGCUGUUGUUGAUAGAGUACGCACUAAUCUCUGCAACUUUAUUUUAAAAUAGUUAUUUCCCUUAAAACAUAAUUCUUUCCUUGAUCAAAAUUUUUCAUUGUUUAGAUGGGACACAUUGCUGUUGGAACAUCAACAAAUGGGGCCAGUUUUAAAAUUCCUGGAAGGUAUGGUAGAAUCAUAUGAGGCUCUGUAAUGCAGUGAUGAGGCUAAAACUAAAAUAUAUUGCUCAUCUUGUUCUUUCCGCUGGUAGCCCUUGUACAGCAUAAGAUAAUACAAAUUGCUAUCAAAAAACUGAGAUAUAACUUUUCUAAGUUUUGCUGUAAACUUGUAAUCUUUCUUGAAGAAAUAAUUAAAUAAUUAUAUACAAAAAUAGAAGAAUAAAAAUGGACUGGUAAGGCUGUUUGACACUUUAGCAUGCGUGAUAUACUAUUGACAUAUAGAGUUCUAGGAUGGAAUUUCUGUAUGAAGAGUCGGGUUAUUUUCAUGAAUCAGAAUAAAGGUUGUAGGAUUUAGAUGCAUAGGAGAUAGUAAAGGCAGGGUUUUUAAGUGUUGGGUUUUAGGAAAAAAUAAGGAAAAUACGCAAGGAAGUUUUGGACAACGUUAUGGAUGUUUUCUGCUACAUUAAAAGCUUGUGGGGGUAGAUGAACGGAUUUCAGUUGAUUAAUGUUUUUUGCAAUUGAGUUUGAGAAUGAAGUAACUGAUGUUCUGGAGCCGAAUGGUUGAGAUUGAGAAACAUCAGAUGAAUUUUGGCAAGAACCUUGAUCUUAAUCCUCAAAAGGACUUGAAACAUCAGAUGAAUCUAAGGCCCCAUUUGGUGCAGAUGGAUAUAAUUAUAAUCAUAAUCUGCCAGUCGGAUUAAUCUACGAGUUUCAUGAUUUUCAAAUGAAUUUGCUCGAGUGAAUCUUGAAAGUUAAAAACACAUGAAGCAUUUAUAUGGUGAAGCCACCUAAUCUACCUUCGUGGCACCAUUCAAAACAAUCGAUUUUAAAUUAAAUUGAUAUGUAGAAUGUGAUAAAGCCAUUCAGUAAAAGUGGACAUCCAAAGAGGAAUUAAUCAUCUAAGGUACAGGCCAAAAAAAUAUUUUAAAUGAGUGAGAUUAAAUAAUCAUAUUAUCUUUUAUGGCUGAUGUUCUCGACGCAUGUAUUCAAUAAUUUGCUAAAAAAAUCUUUUUCUUUGAGUGUUAACUGUUAAG
rnacentral:lncRNA from 1 species